rnacentral:rRNA from 1 species
UACGUAGGUGGCAAGCGUUUGUCCGGAAUUAUUGGGCGUAAAGCGCGCGCAGGUGGUUCUUAAGUCUGAUGUGAAAGCCCUGGGCUCAACCUGGGAAUGGCAGUGGAUACUGGAAGCUAGAGUGCGGUAGAGGGUAGUGGAAAUUCCCGGUGUAGCAGUGAAAUGCGUAGAGAUCGGGAGGAACACCAGUGGCGAAGGCGGCUACCUGGACCAGCACUGACACUGAGGCACGAAAGCGUGGGGAGCAAACAGG